UAUUGCACAAUGGGCGCAAGCCUGAUGCAGCAACGCCGCGUGCCCGAUGAAGGCCUUCGGGUCGUAAAGGGCUUUUCUGGCUGAAGAAGGGCAGCUUUGUGCUGCUUUGACCGUAAGCCAGGAAUAAGUGUCGGCUAACUACGUGCCAGCAGCCGCGGUAAAACGUAGGACGCAAGCGUUAUCCGGAGUUACUGGGCGUAAAGCGCGGGCAGGCGGUUCCUUAAGUCUGAUGUGAAAGCGCCCGGCUCAACCGGGCGAGGCCAUUGGAAACUAGGGAACUGGAGGGCAGUAGAGGUAGGCGGAAUUCCGGGUGGAGUGGUGAAAUGCGUAGAGAUCCGGAGGAACACCAGAGGCGAAGGCGGCCUACUGGGCUGCACCUGACGCUGAGCCGCGAAAGCCAGGGGAGCGAAC
rnacentral:rRNA from 1 species